rnacentral:rRNA from 1 species
UACGAAGGUCCCAAGCGUUAUUCGGAAUCACUGGGCGUAAAGAGUACGUAGGCGGUUUGGUAAGUCAGGUGUGAAAUCCCGGAGCUCAACUCCGGAACUGCAUCCGAUACUGCCAGACUUGAGUAAUGGAGAGGCAGGUGGAACUCUCGGUGUAGCAGUGAAAUGCGUGGAUAUCGAGAGGAAGACCAAUGGCGAAGGCAGCCUGCUGGACAUUUACUGACGCUGAGGUACGAAGGCUAGGGGAGCGAAAGGGAUUAGAAACACGAGUAGUCC